rnacentral:rRNA from 1 species
UACGAAGGGGGGCUAGCGUUGCUCGGAAUCACUGGGCGUAAAGGGUGCGUAGGCGGGUCUUUAAGUCAGGGGGUGAAAUCCUGGAGCUCAACUCCAGAACUGCCCUUUGAUACUGAAGAUCUUGAGUUCGGGAGAGGUGAGUGGAACUGCGAGUGUAGAGGUGAAAUUCGUAGAUAUUCGCAAGAACACCCGUGGCGAAGGCGGCUCUCUGGGACGGUACUGACGCUGAG